GCCCUUGUAAUAAUCAAAGGUGUGACCUGCCCAAUGGCUUUUAAAUUAUUAAAAAUAAACACUUUAAAAAAAAGCUUAAAGGACGCAGUAUAUUGACUGUGAUAAUGUAGCAUAAUCACUUGCCACUUAAUUAGUGGAUAGUAUGAACGGUUAAACGAAUAUAACAUUGUCUCCUUUAAAAAAUUCAUAAAAUUAAAAUAAUAGUAAAGAUGCUAUUUAGAACUGUAAGACGAAAAGACCCUAUAGAGCUUAACUAUAAUUUGUAAUAAAACUAAAAAAAUUCUUAAUUUUUAAAUAUACAAAUUGGUAGUUUAGUUGGGGCGACUAUCUUCUAUAAAAAACGAAGACAAGCAAUGUUAAUAAUAAAACUUAUUGUAUAAUAAAUAAAUUUAACAAUUAUAAAAGUAGGCUAUAAUGACCCAUUGAAAUAAAGUAAUAUAUUCAAUGAUUAAUAAAUAAAAGCUACCUUAGGGAUAACAGGAUAAUUUUGUUUUAGAGAUCUUAUCGAAAACAAAGUUUGUCACCUCUAUGUUGAAUUAAGAUAUCCAAGUAAUGCAGAAAUUACUAAAGGUAGGUCUGUUCGACCUAUAAAAUCUU
rnacentral:rRNA from 1 species